CCUACGUGUGGCAGCAGUGGGGAAUAUUGGACAAUGGGCGAAAGCCUGAUCCAGCCAUGCCGCGUGUGUGAAGAAGGCCUUCGGGUUGUAAAGCACUUUCAGUGGGGAAGAAAGCCUUGGGGCUAAUACCCUCGAGGAAGGACAUCACCCACAGAAGAAGCACCGGCUAACUCCGUGCCAGCAGCCGCGGUAAUACGGAGGGUGCGAGCGUUAAUCGGAAUUACUGGGCGUAAAGCGCGCGUAGGCGGUCUGAUAAGCCGGUUGGGAAAGCCCCGGGCUCAACCUGGGAACGGCAUCCGGAACUGUCAGGCUAGAGUGCAGGAGAGGAAGGUAGAAUUCCCGGUGUAGCGGUGAAAUGCGUAGAGAUCGGGAGGAAUACCAGUGGCGAAGGCGGCCUUCUGGACUGACACUGACGCUGAGGUGCGAAAGCGUGGGUAGCAAACAGGAUUAGAUACCCCUGUAGUC
rnacentral:rRNA from 1 species